rnacentral:rRNA from 1 species
UACGUAGGGGGCUAGCGUUGUCCGGAAUCAUUGGGCGUAAAGAGCGUGUAGGCGGCCCGGUAAGUCCGCUGUAAAAGUCAAAGGCUCAACCUUUGAAUGUCAGUGGAUACUGCCGGGCUAGAGUCCGGAAGAGGCGAGUGGAACUCCCGGUGUAGCGGUGAAAUGCGCAGAUAUCGGGAGGAACACCAAUGGCGAAGGCAGCUCGCUGGGACGUUACUGACGCUGAGACGGCGAAAGCGUGG